rnacentral:lncRNA from 1 species
UGUGCUGUUUAUUUCCUAUUUAAAAUAGAAGUCUAAAAUACAUUUUGUAACAGUCUAUCAAGUCACAUAGAAAUGACAAUGCUAACAUGUCCUUGAACUUGCAAGGGAGUGAAAAACCUUUUCUGAAGUCCUUGAUAUGAAAAUUGUGAGCUAUUCAAAGUUCAUUUGAUGAGAGAUGAUGCCUGCAGCAACAGAUGGAACCUCCCAAGGAAGCUUGAGUAUAUUCAAAAGCUUCCGAAUUAUUCCAGUAAAGGUCCUUGUACAGAAAGUUCCAGCUCACUUCUUGUUUACUUGGUGUCAAUUGCAGAAGAUAUUAAAGUGUUUCCUAGGAUCUGCUUCUUAAGUGCCCAGCUGUGAAGAGUUCUGCAAGACUCCUACAGGUAAAAGCAAAAGGAGAUGAGGUAAACAGGCUGGCAUUGGCAAAAGGGGCAGCAUAAGGAACAGCAAAGAUCUCAAAAAGCCUUUUCCCCAGAGGCCAACAUCCUGUAGUACCCAGGGAAUAUGCUCUGUUCACAUUCUGUGCUAUAAAAGCUUUCAAAUUUUAAAGAGGAGAAACAAGGGAAACUGAGGAAAAUUCUGAAAUGGGUAAGUACUUAGGAUGCUUCCUAUGCCAUUAUAAUAGGCGCAUUUCUAAAUGGAUUCUUAUGGUAAAUUAUUAUACAAUAAUUUACAACCACAGGAUAUACUUGAUUGCAAAUCUGGCCUCUGUACUUUAAGAAUCAUUUCUAUAGGGAAACAGAUGAGUAGAGGAAAAGAGCAAGACACUUGCAUGGAAAUUAAGUCUAGGCUCAGCUUUACAUAAUUCCAUAGCUGUCUUUGAGAACAUCACUGGUGGUGAAUGCAACAACAUUCACCAUUGUGAAUGAAUAACUUCUUCUCACCUAGAUAAAGGUAACAGGCUUUGGAUGAACAUCCAGCAUCUUUUGCAUGUGGCAAAGCAAGAACUGAAGGUUCAGUAGCUGACAAUGACCCUAGAGUACUCUAGCUUAGAGCUGCCUGGGAGGAAACAAUAAGAGUAUGUGUAUUGACAGCACUGGUCACAGCCUCUCUCUCCCACACAAUUGGCAUCAUUUAGUGGGACAUGUUGCCUGUCACAUGAUGGGGGAGUCUGUGUGUGUAUACCUCCAAUUUCUGUGAAUCAGCAUCUCAGCUGCAUCAAUUUGUGUCCAGAUAAGUUGUUCUCGUGGAAAAAAAAAAUAAAAAAAGGUCUCCAGUAAUAAUUUAAUAGCCU